GCUAAAUUAGCUCAGUUGGUUAGAGCAUGGUGCUGAUGAUGCUAUAAGGUUGCAGGUUCAAUCCCUGUGUGGGGCA